UCAAAGAUACGAAAAAGGGUGAAAAAUGUCCAAACAAAGGGGAUAGUAACAGCAUUGCUGAAAGAUAUUCUUGAUCCUGACAAAAUAUUGAAUUAUGUUGAUUGCCAUGCUAAAAAAAGAGACUGUAAUGAAGGUGGAAAAAUAAGGAGUUACUAUCGCAAGGGAAGUGCUGCCCCUCCACCAAGUAAGGUAAAAGAGUUUGGAAACUGCUAUUGCGUGUUUUCCAUCAUUUAUCAUCUGCCAUAAACAAUACAAUAAUGAAUGGUAAAAAUAAAAAUACAGCAAGAAACCGCAACAACUCGUAUACUUUGUCAUUGCAUAAAGACAAGCUAAUUGUGUCAUCUUUUAUUUUCAAAUUGUCAUAUAAAUCAAUUUAUAGAAGUAGAUGCAAGAAGUAACACUGUAUGUAUGUAUAAUUAUGCUAAUUUCAAAAUGGAAUAAUUGGAUGAACAGUUUUCAAAGCUCAUUUUACAAAAAUUUGCAUAUUGUCAUUUAGAACUCGGCCAAUAACAAUUAAAUCAUGUUAACCGGAGCUUAAA